rnacentral:rRNA from 1 species
UACGUAGGGUGCGAACGUUAAUCGGAAUUACUGGGCGUAAAGCGUGCGCAGGCGGUUUUGUAAGCCAGAUGUGAAAUCCCCGGGCUUAACCUGGGAAUGGCAUUUGGGACUGCAAGGCUUGAGUGCGGCAGAGGAGACUGGAAUUCCUGGUGUAGCAGUGAAAUGCGUAGAUAUCAGGAGGAACACCGAUGGCGAAGGCAGGUCUCUGGGCUGACACUGACGCUCAUGCACGAAAGGCGUGGGGAGCAAACGAGGAUUAGAGUACCCGU